AUUUUUUCUUCCAAUAUUGGGUUAUUGUAAAGAGUUGACAUUGCAAUAUAGAUUUCUGUAUGAUAUGAUAUGUGCUGUUAUACCAUUGGCAACUUAACUGCUAAGUAAACUGGAACUAAAAAAGAUUCUCUCAGUUGUUUGGUAUUGGAAUGUUUAUUCCAUUUCUUGAUUUUGUUGCCUGGUCCUUCUGGAUAAUUUGACUUGAACAAGCAUAAAAUCUAUCAUUAGGUUAUAAACAAAGUCAUAGGAUUAGUCAACAAAGUCAAG
rnacentral:misc_RNA from 1 species